GAUGCUGAGUCGCCUGAAGGAAGCAGGAGAUUGGCUUCCCUCACAUCAUUAUGGAGGCACAGGAACUCUGCCCUCAUCAACGUCAUCUCCAUCAACAUUGAGAUCAAUGACGCCCCCGCCGAGAACGAUCUCCUUUCGACCCACUUUCCAUCCCCGUCAAGCGUUAUCUUCAACUGAUGUCCAAAGGUUUUGUUACUUUCCUUUUAUUAUUCAAAAGUACACUGUAAUUUUAGCCUCGUAGUGCCCUUUGUCCUAAUCUGAAGUUGCUACAGAUCACAUCCUGUUUUCUAAAGUCAAAUCAACAAACUUAUUUGGUGAUUUGCUUAUGUGUUUACGAAAUCACAACGUCAUUAAUGUCAACUAUUAGAAUUUAUUGUAAGAAAAUUUAUCUAAACUUUUUAAAUAAAAUAGUUUUCAGAAAUAAUAUAUAUAGCAAUCCUUUUUUAAUAAUAACCUUAUUGAUGAUAUGGAAAGGCUUGAGUGGUUGUAUUGAAUUGUGGAUGAUGCUGUGUUGGAGCUUACAAAUUUAUAUGCCGUGAGUCGGUGCUUAAUGUUUCAGCUCCGAUUUCACGGUUUCGGGUUACUCUAUCCGGUUCCGAUGACGAAUGGUCAAAAAACCAAGCCGAGGAGUGACCAGGUCGUGUACACUUACCGAGUUGUUGUCGAAUCUACAAAGUGCUAAGUCUCUUUUAGACAUAUUUAUUCAUUUUGUAUGGUUCUUGGAAUUCGGUCAUGGGUUCAUGCUUUUUAGUUAUGAAUCCUCAUUUCUUGUUUAUGAUAAUAUUGAAAUUGUAGGGUGAAAUUGGUCAUGGAGCUGUUUACUUAUGGGAAUCCAAAUCCUUAAAGUUAUAUACUUAUAUUGUAUAUGGAUGGGGUCAAAGAAGUCCAUUUGUAUUUUUUUUAAAUGUGUUUAUCUCACUUUAUUUUUUUCAGUGUUGCUCGUGCUGAGAUAUGAGGCAUUCAUUUUGCGAGUGUUGAAUUCUUCUAUAGAUUAGUAAUUACAUGUUUCAUACAGAGAAUGGUUCACUUUUGCUGAGUAAUUAACUGACAACGGGUUUUAUACCAUUGCGGAAGGUGGGUACUCUUCACAUGAAUGAGUUAUAAACUAACUUAUUUUUUAAUGGUUUGGUUUAGGCCAUAAAAAGGUGGAUACUUUUCAAAUGAAUAAGGUUCCAGGCUCCAGCCAAGAACAUGGGUGAGCUGGUGAUGGUCCCCAUGAGGAAGUCAAAGGGGGCUAGGUGGCACAACACAUGAUUCUUCGUCCAUUUUAUGUUUCGGAAGUGAAAGCAUUAGUUGAAGAGAAGCUUGGAACAUGAAGAUCAUUGGUAUGAUAUAAGACAGGUUGAAAGCAUGUGUACAUGGAGAAACCAUUCGGGAGUCUUUGCUGAGGAAAUAAAGAAAGAAGUUGUGUUAUCUCCCGCCCUUCAACAACGGGCUUAACCUUCAAGCUUCAUGUCCUGAAACCGUUAAAGACCGAGAUUUAAUCCGGGUUACAACUUCUAUAUGCUAUAGUUUGGGUCCAAGUGUACCCGUGUUGUAGUUGAAAAGAUCAAAGAAAGGAAAGUUUCCUUUAAAUGGACAAUUGUAUGUUGUGCUUUUUUUUUCACCACCAAUAAUUUUUCAUGGCUCCUUUGCUAUUCUGUAGGUGUAUCAUAAUAUGUGAAAUUGUUAAAAUAUUAUUUAAAUAUUGUUAGUAUCCAUACAAUGAUAUAUUUUUUUAGUUUUCUAGAAGAUUUAA